UAAGUCCUAUAUUAAUCCUCUGCUGAACCUGUGGGUUUUUCUAUUGUUUGAAAACAGGCUGAUGAAUUUCCUCUAAGCAAAGUGUGAAAUUGAUCUGGCGUCCGCUGAAAGGCAUGCGAAGAGUCCUCUGAUUAAAGGAGACAUCCAUCCUGACCGCUGCCAGCCUCCGUCGCUGGGAGAAGCUUUGUUGGCUUCACCUUUAUUAUUAGUCACACUCAUGCAUAACAACUGAAACUCGUGAUUACGAUGCACUGGCUGUGUCCUCCGGAUCGACCCAGAGUGUGAGAUUAUCGGCCCGCAGGAUCGAUGGACGUUAUGAAUUAUUAGGUGGCGAGGAAAGUAAUAUUGGAGGACGAAGGAUUGAAGACUUGCGGCAGAAAUGACCAAUCACCGCAGUAUAAAACUGACAUUGCUUUUGAUCCAUAGGGGAGGGGGGGGGCUGGAGAGGGGCCAAGGCUGAUCCAUUUGGACCAGACUACUGAAGCCCAACCUCUUCACAACUCUUUGACAAAUUCGCUCCCCUUUGCUGAUUGAUGAUGUCUUGAGGUCCAAUCACAACGACACGUCGGAACACGUGGACUCAACAUGCGGCGCUAACAGCUAGAGUUGCCGUGAUGCUUAACCAUCACAAAAGCCCUCAACCCGGGGAAAAGAAAACAUCAGUCUGCUGGAUUAAACUCAAGUGGCACGCGGAGACACAGAACGAGUGGAGACAUAAGCGCAUGAAACCGGGUGCUCCAGAAAUGGCACAGCUGAAGAUAAAGCUUUUAUCGAACUGCACAGCCUUCUCUGCCCUGCAAUCUGCAGACACAAAAUUGCCACAGGCCAUUUCGGGGAGAGAAAAUCUACUUGGACCACCUGUAACCUUUGAGGCACUGCUUUAUUUCAGCCCAUUUAAUCACAGUGAUAUGCUUUUGUGUUAUGUUAAUGUCUGGAUGUGGUCCGACUAUGAUUUGUCCUUGUCGUGACGAUUGUGAAGAAAGAGACUCACCGUCUUACCGGGCUUCUAAAACGAGACAUGCCGGGCUUCGGUCACGGCGCGGCCAGUGUUUUAUUCUUUUAGGUUCUCGGGGAUUUAUUUUUACACAAAUGGCCGAUGCAGGGUUUUUUUUGUCAUUAGUACCUUUAAUCUGAAGGCAAACAUUUUUCAGAGCGAGGUCCAUUUUUUGGAGCUUUGCAUUGCAGGAAUCAACAAAUCCUUUCACAUUAAAAGCCCUAGACAUGAACACUAAGUAAUUGUUUACCGGAUGGAACCAGAGAU
ensembl:lncRNA